UGCCUCUUCUUUUUUAUAUAGUGUCUUGUCUUUAAUUCUUCUUUUUAAUCAUACAUAUUUAAUAUUUUUAUUGGGUAGUUCUUAUCUGAAUUUCUUGGCAAUGUAAUUCUAACAGUUUUAAAUCGUCUGACUGUUGCUCAAGAUGAUUUGUUUCCUCAUCUUCCAUGUGGGUAAACAGUGGGAGGCAUGUAUAACCUGGGUUGAGGGUUUAUCCUUCAUAAGAUGUUUGAUUUUGCUUUUAUCAGAUUCCCAGGCAUAUCACUGUCUCCAGAUUCUUUUAAUGUUAAUUCAUUUGCUUGGAUGCUCCAGGACCACAUAGGAAUGGAUUCAAUUUGCAAACCCAUGUGUUAGAGGCAGUGAUUACACAUUCUCAGGGGAGAACUUUAUUUUCAUUCAGAACCCAGGCCAAAACAACUUUCUUUGUAAUUUCCCUAUGCCAAUGGGAAUAUUUUUUUCUUGCCUAUCAUUUUAUCUUAAAGGAGGGUAUAGAUUUUAUGUGGGUCUCUAAGUUCCUACUUUUCAACUUACAAGGGUCCAAGACCUAAUCUCCUGGAUAUUAAAUCCCAAGCCUUGAGAUUAUUAAAAUUGUUUAAUAAAAUUGGCAAACCUUCAUCAUUCUGGGCUGCAGUAAUAUCCCCUCAUAUGUUUAUUGAUCUAGUUUUAACUUCCCUUUGCACUUUGCCCUAGAGGGAAUUUUCUCAUAUUCUUUGAGCUCAGCUAUUUAUUUCAGAGAAUGUUAUGUUUUAUCUAGUAUUUCUAGGUGCUUUGUAGGAGGAGUGCUUUUAGAUAUUUAGUCUUCCAUACUGUCAUUAAUCGUUUUUCUCCUUAUUUCUGUUCCAUACAAAUGGUUUUCCUGUUUGGGGGCACUAAUGAGUCUUUUUUAUUUUUAUACUUUAUGUUCAUCUACUAUUACUUUAAGUUUGAACUACAGUGAAGAAUCCAAAGGAUAAUGUCAUCUUGACUACAAAUCCCAGAUCUCUAUUACUGAUUAUGACCAAGCUGAUAGUAAAUCGGAGGAAACAGUCCAAUGUUCCCUAGUAUAUGUGAGUACAUGAAUGUGAAUUUCUGAAAAUUGUUGAAGCUAAUUGUGGCAGGCCGUGUUUGUUGUUCACCUAGUAGCUAUUCUGCCUAAUUUUAUUACUGGAAGAUACCUGAUUUUUGUUUGGAUUUCCACUCCUGUCUCAUGUGAUUCAGGGGUAAAUCUUAAUUUCUCUGUCAUUCCUAGCAAUACCAUUUGCCUUACUAGUGAGAGAUUUAGAAGAUGUGUUUCCAAUUCUGAACAAUGAAAUUUGAAGGGAGGUCCACUGGAGACUUCUGGGAAAUGUUUCCUUGCUCUUCAAGGGAAAAAAAAGUGGCAGAGUUAAGCUUUUCUUCUGCAAGUUCAUUGUUUUCAAAAUGUGUUGUCUGAAACUGUCAUGACCAUUCAGAGACCAUGAAGUAGGCACCAAGCCGAGGAUGGCAAAACCAGAAAGAUGGAAAGAUGCUGCCUUCUUGGAUAGUAGUGUUGUGCUGAUGAAUUAAUAAAACAGGAAGCCAUCUAUGUCUUGUUAUGUCACUUUUCAAUAUGUUAGAUAAUAAAUCCCUUUAUUUGUUAAGCUAAUUAAAUGAAAGUUUUCGGUUACCUGCAUCUGAAAUAUGCUAAUGGAUGUACCAUGGUGUAAACCUACCUUUGAUUGGUAACAGUCUAAAAGACAAAGGUGAGCAUAAGUUCAUCCCAACUGGGAUUCAAUGCUUUAGCCAGAUCACUGGUUUAGUGGUACAUGAGGAACCUGCAUUUACUCUGUGAAAAUAUAUGUCCUAGCCUUAAUACGAGAAAAGACCAGGUGAUAUAAAAGCCCAGGGAAUAUGAAACAUUCCUAUGAAAGAAGGAUGAUAACUCUGAGAAGUCCAAGCCAAAAGGAACUACAGAAUGUCUUCUCAUUUCCUCACACAAGAAGGGGUUCAAAAGAAUAAAGAAUGCAUCUGCAUGCAUGCAUAACUAGAAUCAAAAUCAUUUAGAGCUGCAUCCAUAUGAGUUAUAAUUUUAUCUAUCUUGCUCCCUUGAGCUUGAAAGUGGUCCAUUUCUGCAGGUUGGUGUGCUUACAAAGUGGUGGCAUAGUGCGAUAGAAAAGGAACGUGAUUUCAACCAGUUCCUGAGACUGCACUUCCUACCUAUAUGAACUUGGGUAAAUCACUUCUACAAACAUGUUUCUUCAUCUACAAAAUGGAAAAUCACUACCUGCCAUAUAGGGCUGCUAUUAAGACUUAAAAAGAUUAAGUAUGGAUUUAUAAACUGUAAAGCUCUUUAGUAUGUUAGUUAAAAUGACCUUUCUCUGAUUUUGUAAUUUACUCCAUGCAAAUUAAUCUGAAGAGUUAACAUUUGCAUUCCAUUAUCCAAAGCAAUGAUUCCAACACAUUUCAGAUGACAGGGCUGACCAGCAGAGAAGUCUUCUGAGUGGGUGAUGGCUUAUGGAGAGCCCAGGUUGCGCAUGGUGUGAUCCAUGACCACCUCACACAGCACUGGUCCUUAGACAACUAAAAGGUGCUGCUGAGGGUGUGCAUCUGAGAAGGAAGAGCAGGAUCCCAUUUUCACAGCAAUGACCUAGCUCCCGACUCAGCCAUUCCUGCCCACAGUUCUUUCAGGGGCUCUCUUUUGGGACUCAGUUACCUACAGUCUCCACAUCUAGACUUUUCUCCAUGCAAGGACUAGUAACAAUCUCCCACACUUUCUCUUUUGAUUUUGUUGGUGGUGGUGCUGUUAAAUGUUCUGUGGUUUUAAAAAAGAAACUCACUAAUGAUUAAGAAUACACAUUUAACAUCUUUAGGAAUAUUAUGAGAAAGAGGAAAAAACUUCUGCAAGCAAUACAUCUCACCUUUUCAAAAUAACAAUUCUACAUCUGGUCAUUUUAUCAAUAUUUGUAAAAUCUAAAGGGAUCCUUAGGACAUGAGGCCAGUCUUCAACUCCUUUUGUGAAAAAGGCAGAUCUGGUCCAAAGGUCUUACUUUCAAAUGAAGAAACUGAGGCCAAGAGAAGUAAAGGGAUUUUUAAAUCUACAGUACCAUACAAAUUUACCCUUACUGUUAGCAAAAGUGGUGAAAAGAAUAACUCAACCAUAUUCUUAAAUAAGUAAAAGUUACAAGAUUAAUAAAUUACAAUAAUGGGGAAAUGUUACUUUACAUAAGUAAUUGCUUUAAUAGGUUGGGACACUUACUACUGUUAGAAAAGCAGUAGAAAAUAUGGAAUUGUCAAAGCAUUAAUCUGCCUUAGUUGAUUCCUGGAACAUUCCUGCAGAUCAGUGCACCAUAUCCUAAAAGGAACAUGGAUGAACUUGUUUGUUUAAGGAGUGCCACCAGGAUUAUGGGAUGACUUGAAGUUUUGUCUCAUUAGGGAUGGUUUAGGUAGAAUAAGAUGAGAACUUGAAAAUGAAACUUACUUGCUUGCUGGAUAAAUGGUAGGACAUGAGGCCAGCCUUCAAUUCUGCUAGGUAGUGCUCCCAUAGCUAGGCUUCUAUAUACACAAAGAGUCAUUCUUAUUCCGAUAGCCCUAAGGAUUUGGGCUCAAUGGAUGGAAGCCACAAGAAUAGAUCUAUGCUGAAUAUAAGGAUCUCCCAACCAUUAACUAUUCUAUGAGUAAGUACAACUAAAACAAAGGCCCCCAAGUGAAUUAUUUUUGCCAAAAAAAAUGAUUAAAAUUAAUCCAUUCCACACAAAAUAAGUAUCAUUAGUGCUUCUGAAAGAGCUGCACUAUAAUUCGGUGGCAACUGAGCAUUAAUUUUAGGUCGUGUGGGAAAUAUAUUCUUAUUCACCAGUCUAAGUCAUGGGUACUCAGUCUUUAUGGCCUUUACUAAACAGUGUUUUCAAUGGUGUCCAUUUACCAUCUGGAUUGUAAUAAUAGUCAUGCAAGAUUUCUGUUCUGUUCAUUUGAGGCCAACUCGAAAGGAGUGCUUUCCAGGUCUCUCAGUUUUAACCAUGGGAAUCUUUUUCACAAGAAAGCACUUGUUUCCUGCUGCCAAUAAUUCCAGAUAUAUUCAAAUGUCCCAUAGACCUUACAACUAUUCCAGAAUUCUUCAGGAGUAUGAUUCCCUUAUCUUGGCGUAAAGAAAAAAAAAAAUCUACUACCUACUUCAGUAACAGUGAUAGAUUAUUCAACUGACUGCAUAGUCCAAGAAAUCUUUAUUGAAAAAGUUAAGAACGCUGUUAAUCUUCUAGUUCAUGCCCUAUUUUUUUUUUUCGUUUUUACUAUUUUUGAGAGCAUGAAUCACUGUGAAUUGAAUGAAGUGGGAAGAUUUGAUCAGAAGUGUCAAAGUAGGUUAAGCCUCUCUAACAGUACUCCACAGGGAAAGGAAAUGUGCCCUGUUCCAGAGUGGCUGCUUAAUUUAAACCAUCAAUAAGUGCUUGCUUAACUAAUUUGCAGCAGCAUCCUCUGGUGAAGCUAAAAUUUUAUAGUUUCCAUUCAAAUUGCAAUCUUUGAACACCUGCUCAUUUGUUACAUUACUACUCUAUAAUGUCAUGUGCCAUGCUCAAAAAUAUCAUUUCUACUUUGGCAAGUCCCUAGCCAGUUAUAAUAAAGUAUGUAUCUUGGGCAUGGUUUUUCUACUCCUGAUAUCAGUAGAACUCUAUAAGGGUUUAUGGUAGAACCCCAUGCAUUUGAUUUUUAGUUUUGAUUGUGCUGUGGAAAUAGAGGCAAGUUUUAUGUCCCAUAUCCAAAGUUUUUAUUUCCUCAUUUGUAUACCUCAAAAGCUACAUAUGCUAGUCAACUGUCAUAGUAAUAUUAGACCAUAUGUAAGAAUUCUCCAGGAAAAAAAUGUUUUAACUAAGGGCUGGCUUAGGUUUGGGUGUUACUAUGGGAAAUGCCAUAUCACAGUUAGGUGUAAAACAUAGAUAGGGAGAGAACAUAAAAUUUGGGGUUAAGGGUAUAAGGUUCUAAAAGAAAUCCAAGAGGCCAACACUGGCUGCAUUCAUUCAACACCAAUGUCCUUGUUUUUAGGAAGAAGUAGAGAUAGAGAGGGAUGUUGGUGAUGUUGGAUCCUAAUUUCAGUUCCUAUCUCACCACAGGACCUUGGGUAAGUCAUCUGAUAUCUGUUUGUCCCAUCUGUAAGAUCAAUUAUAUGACACAAUAUAGGGAUCAAUGAACUUUUCUGUAAAGGGUCUGAUAGUAAAUUGUUCAGGCUUUGCUGGCCGUAUUGUCUUUGUCACAAUUACCCAACUCUGCCACUGUAGUGCAAAACCAGCCAUAACCAAUGCAAAUAAAUGGGUGUGGUUGUUCCAAUAAAACUUUGUAAGAACAGAUGAUUUGGCCUGUAGGUUGUAGUUUGCCAAGCAAUAGUAUAAUAUCUACUUAACAAAGAUAACUUAAUAUUUAAAGAGGUGCCAUAAGAAGAAAAGUUAAAAUGAUGCAUAGAGAAGGAAGACUUAAAAUGAUGGCAAAAGAGAAAAGUGGGUGAAGAGAAAAACUGGUACCAUAAGAUAAAUGUUUUCUACAAAAACAAACAAAACCCAAAUACCAAGAACUGAAAUCUACUCUUGGUGAAAAUCAUUUAUCAAGGCAUUUAAACCACUUUAGGCAUUGUAGUCAAUCUCUGGGGAAGUUGCUUGAUCUUUCUUCAAGUUUAAAAUAAUGCUAAAGAAUUAAAUCUUCUUUGUAGUGUUGUUAUAAUCUUAGUGGAUAGAGGACCAUGUUGGUAUAUAUAUUUCAUUACUAUUCUAAUUUUUUCCCCACUAGAAGUCAAUUUUUAAAAUCUUUUCAUCCAGCAGAUAUGUAAUGUACAAAAGGGAUAAAAAUAAUUUUGAUGUGCUUAUGUUUCCAUAUUUGUUCUCAAGUGUCAUCCUUCUGAUACACAUCAUGUGGCAACAUAUAUGUUGACACCAAUUUCUCUGAACUCUUUAUCAAAAAAAAUUUGCCAGCACUAACUGUAAAAUGAAACAUUAGUAUGGUCUGAGAGGGAAGAAAAUUCUGUUGUUUCUUAGAGUUUCUCCUAUAGUCUAUGAUUUUUCUAAAAUUUGAGAAGCAAAUUUAAUACAUUGAGAAUUUUGUAGGUAUACAGCUCUACAAUCUCUUACCUAAAACCCUGAGGCUAGAUGUUUCAGAAUAGAGGACUUCACAUUUAAGAAAGGCAAUAUGGGCUGGGUGCAGUGGCUCAUGCCUGUAGUCCCAGCAUUUUGGGAGGCCAAGGUGGGCAGAUCACCAGGUCAGGAGUUCAAGACCAGCCUGGCCGAUGCGGUGAAACCCUUGCAGCGAGCUGAGAUCGCACCACUCCAGCCUGGAUGACAGAGUGAGACAUCGUCUCUAAAAAAAAAAAAAAGAAAAGAAAAAAGAAAGACAAUAUGGUUCAUAUACCACAUAGAGCUUGUAUGCCUCCAGGGAAAUCUGCAGCAGCACCCCACAACCAAAUAAAGUACUUUUGCUACAGCCAAAUUAUCUACACCAAAUAGAAUAAAAGACCAUGAAUAGCCUCAUGUCAAUUCAGUUCAGAUUUUGCUGCCAAAUGUCUUUGUUUCAAAGUUUUGCAAAAUCUUUUGGUUUUCAGAGCCUUCUGAAUUUUUGAAUUUUGAAUAAGGAACUAUGUGUCUGCGGUUUGUAAAAACAAAACAGAAAACUCUUUCUGAAGACUUUUUCACCUCAAAGAGACCCACAGUUGACUGUUUGAAUGAUACACACUUAUAACUGAAGAUACUUUCCAGCAUGAAUUCAAGAAUAAGCCUCAAUUUUCCCACUAGCGGCACAGUUACCAAGAGAAAUGUGCUCCCUCCGCUCCAGUGAGUCUCGAUUUCUUCUUAGAGCUGACACACAUGGCACAGAACCCACUUUCAUCAGUACUCAUGGUCAUUCUGGCAGUGAUUCUCAACCACAAGGGCUUGUCCCCAGAGGACAAAUGACCCUGUUAUGAGCAAUCUUCUAUCCUCUAAGAAUCUUUGGUUUUUCUCCCCAAUAAAAAGAUGAUUCUUCCAGCUCUGGCAAUAAUUGCAACUUAAUAUUAACUAACAUUGAGAUCUGUAGAGCCCUUUAAGAAUUUGAUCAUUUUAAGUCCAGAGCAUUAAUUUUUAGUCCUGGCUGUACAUUAGAAACACACACAGAACUUCGUUAAAAACAGAUAUCCAGGCAGCACCAGAUCAACAUACUUAGAAACUCAAAGCACCAAAAAGAUGAUAGUGUCCUCCUUCAUGCAUAAUUCAAAAUAAAAACAAUACUAAAUCAUAAAACACAUGGAAGUAAGUCCACCCUGGAUGGCAUUUUUCUUACGAAGCUUGGGUACAGUCUUCUUCCUUUUUUUUUUUUUUCCUUUUUUAAUGCCCCUGCUUUGCUACAGCCCUCAGCAUGAACUUAUUCUUCCUACCAGAUAAUCCAGCACUGGGUGAGCCUUCCAAACUGGUAGUCUGAGCCCCAUGUGGAAGAGGGAGGAGAAGAGAAAGACAGCGGUAUGGUAGAACAUCCCAGACUGCCAUGCAGUCUAAGAAAGGUUCUGCAAGGCCACUGAAGAGUCUUCAAGCCAAAGUCGGCUGUCAGAGGAGUUCUGUGUCUCCUAGAAUUUCCAGACUAAGUAUGUCUUAGUAUAACUUCAUACUCAGCCAGUCGCUGAGAGAAACCACGGAAGGCAUGGGCUCAAUGCAAAUACAGCAAUGGAUUUCAAAGUGCAGCUGGGCCCCUAGGUCAACCGCAUUCUCUGUAAUCCCCCAGUAUUGGAGGUCUCUGCCACAGAUCUCUAGUGUGAUAAAGGGGCUCAGUACCCCUGAGAAAAAGCUUUUCUGACUAGUAUCUUGUAAAGUCCUCCAUAACUAUCAAUAUAACUUCUCACUAUUUUGGGAUUGGAAGAGGAAAAGGGAAAGACAAAAAGUAAAGCAAAUGUUACUUGAAUAACACAAACCCACAAAGUUUUCACACCUGUAAACAAUGUGCCAA
rnacentral:lncRNA from 10 species